UGCAGCGAGACUGACCUGGUUGGAGACCCGGAAACGGGUCAGGAGGAGUUCAUAACCCAAACGGGAAAGAGUAUUAGCCAAUUAGUCCUCUGAUUUGCAAUAAAUUGGUAGCCUUUAGAUUAAAGAAAACAGAAACUUUCUUCUACAGAUGAUCUGAAUUCAUGAAGGCAACACAGCCUAUGGAACCCGGAGUUGACUGUGAUCUUUCAAGCUUAGUCAUUUUAGAACUCAGCCUCUCUCUCCCUCUCUCCCUCUGACCCCGCACACCCUAAGGUGGAUAAACUUACAAUGAACUUACAGCUGGAGCAGUGAGGCGCUGAAGUGGACACAGCCUGCCCGCUCUGGCGGCCGGGGCCUGGCGUCUGUUGCCAGACAGAACCACGGGAACCUUGGGCUGAGCAGCCGUCCGACUUGUGUUCAGCCUUCCAGGUGGCUACUCUGACACCUCACAGCCACACUGGACUGAUCUCCAGCUCCGACAGUCACCAGAGGGUGUACUCAGGGUCAGCGACUCGCACAAAGAAGCUAAGGUGGAAAUGACCUUCAUGAGAAACAGCGUGCGCAGGAAGGACGCGGGAGCUCCAGGGAGCAGAGGGCUCUGAAGGGCGGAGGAGCCACAGGAGGUCAGCUCAGAGCAGACUCUGAAGGAGCAGGUGGCUCAGCUUUUCUCGUUCGUAGACCCAGGCCAGGAACGUCUUAAAACCUUCAGGCUAACCAUGUCACAGCGAGGCCUGGACAGAGGGAGACGAGACCGCCUGGGGUCGUGGAGGGGUGGCCAUCUGAAGAAGCGAGACAGUGCAAAAAUCCAGCCAGAGAAAUGGAAAGAAACCAUGACACGGUCGACCUACUUCUCCACUUUUCAGUUAUGAAUUGGUCUGCUAUUUGGCUACCCUGUUGGCCACACUAAGCAUGUCAAUGACAGGACCCAUCAUCUUUAGCCGUGAACGUCCAAGAGCAGAUGACCUGUGUCCAGCGCUGGCUCAAGUACUCUGACUGAGUCUGUAAUCUACACGAC
ensembl:lncRNA